rnacentral:rRNA from 1 species
AACAGGAUUAGAUACCCUGGUAGUCCACGCCCUAAACGAUGUCUACUAGUUGUUGGUGGAGUAAAAUCCAUGAGUAACGCAGCUAACGCGUGAAGUAGACCGCCUGGGGAGUACGGUCGCAAGAUUAAAACUCAAAUGAAUUGACGGGGGCCCGCACAAGCGGUGGAUUAUGUGGAUUAAUUCGAUGCAACGCGAAAAACCUUACCUGGCCUUGACAUGUACCGAAUUUACCAGAGAUGGUUUAGUGCUCGAAAGAGAGCGGUAACACAGGUGCUGCAUGGCUGUCGUCAGCUCGUGUCGUGAGAUGUUGGGUUAAGUCCCGCAACGAGCGCAACCCUUGCCAUUAAUUGCCAUCAUUUAGUUGGGCACUUUAAUGGGACUGCCGGUGACAAACCGGAGGAAGGUGGGGAUGACGUCAAGUCCUCAUGGCCCUUAUGGCCAGGGCUUCACACGUAAUACAAUGGUCGGUACAGAGGGUUGCCAACCCGCGAGGGGGAGCCAAUCCCAGAAAGCCGAUCGUAGUCCGGAUUGUAGUCUGCAACUCGACUACAUGAAGUCGGAAUCGCUAGUAAUCGCGGAUCAGCAUGUCGCGGUGAAUACGUUCCCGGGCCUUGUACACACCGCCCGUCACACCAUGGGAGUGGGUUUUACCAGAAGUAGGUAGUCUAACCGUAAGGAGGACGCUUACCACGGUAGUAUUCAUGACUGGGGUGAAGUCGUAACAAGGUAACC